AUUGAACGCUGGCGGCAUGCCUAACACAUGCAAGUCGAACGUGAAAGCCCUUCGGGGUGAGUAAAGUGGCGGACGGGUGAGUAACGCGUAGGAAUCUGCCUUGUAGUGGGGGACAACUCGGGGAAACUCGAGCUAAUACCGCAUACGCCCUACGGGGGAAAGGGGGCUUCGGCUCCCGCUAUUAGAUGAGCCUGCGUCGGAUUAGCUUGUUGGUGAGGUAAUGGCUCACCAAGGCGACGAUCCGUAGCUGGUCUGAGAGGACGAUCAGCCACACUGGGACUGAGACACGGCCCAGACUCCUACGGGGAGGCAGCAGUGGGGGGAAUAUUGGACAAUGGGCGAAAGCCUGAUCCAGCAAUGCCGCGUGUGUGAAGAAGGCCUGCGGGUUGUAAAGCACUUUCAGUAGGGAAGAAAGGCACGGUGUUAAUACCACCGGGCUCUGACGUUACCUACAGAAGAAGCACCGGCUAACUCCGUGCCAGCAGCCGCGGUAA
rnacentral:rRNA from 1 species